AUAAACAAGAGCCGGGACGGGAGGAUGAGGCGGCUGUUGAUCUCCGAGCAGCGGGUGUUGGCGACUCAGGUGGCGAGUGGAACCGGGCGACGAUCCUGAGCUUAGCUUGACCGGUUCUCCCAUCCCUUAGCUCCCCCUACACACUUCCCGGCCACGCGCGCGCGCGCAGCCCCUUUGCGGGCCGACCCGCCGCGCGCGCAGCCAUGAACCUGGCGAGCCAGAGCGGUGAGGCCGGCGCCGGCCAGCUGCUGUUCGCCAACUUCAACCAGGACAACACUCCACAGUACACUCCAUGCCGUACGCCACCUGUCCAGAAAAGGCUUUACAGGUGUCAACAGUACUGUGCCCAUGUUACUGGCCUUGUAGCACCCUUUGCCACACACCGCGUCUAGGCCAGUGACGGGACUGGCAUCUGGGACGCGCAGGUCCCUAGCUGUUGGUAGUAAGUCCGGUUAUAAAUUUUUCUCCCUUUCUUCUGUGGAUAAGCUGGAACAGAUCUAUGAAUGCACUGACACGGAAGACGUGUGCAUCGUGGAGAGGCUGUUCUCCAGCAGCCUGGUGGCCAUCGUCAGCCUCAAAGCGCCCAGGAAGCUGAAGGUCUGCCACUUUAAGAAGGGGACGGAGAUCUGUAACUACAGCUAUUCCAACACCAUCCUGGCCGUGAAGCUCAAUAGGCAGAGGCUCAUCGUGUGCCUGGAGGAGUCGCUCUACAUACACAACAUCCGGGACAUGAAGGUGCUGCACACCAUCAGGGAGACGCCCCCAAACCCUGCAGGCCUGUGCGCACUCUCCAUAAACAAUGACAACUGCUACUUGGCGUACCCAGGGAGCGCGAGCAUCGGUGAAGUGCAGGUCUUCGACACCAUCAACUUGAGAGCGGCGAACAUGAUCCCAGCUCACGACAGUCCCUUAGCUGCGCUGGCCUUUGACGCAAGCGGAAGCAAACUUGCCACUGCUUCUGAGAAGGGGACCGUAAUUAGGGUAUUUUCCAUUCCAGAGGGACAGAAACUCUUUGAGUUCCGGAGGGGAGUGAAGAGGUGUGUGAGCAUCUGCUCUCUGGCCUUCAGCAUGGACAGUAUGUUCCUCUCCGCGUCCAGCAACACUGAGACGGUGCACAUCUUUAAACUUGAGACUGUGAAAGAAAAACCUCCAGAGGAGCCCACUACCUGGACGGGCUACUUUGGGAAGGUGCUCAUGGCCUCCACCAGCUACCUGCCCUCCCAGGUGACAGAAAUGUUCAACCAAGGCAGAGCCUUUGCCACCGUCCGCCUGCCAUUCUGCGGCCACAAGAACAUCUGCUCAUUGACCACAAUUCAGAAGAUUCCCCGGUUACUGGUGGGAGCAUCCGACGGCUACUUGUACAUGUACAACCUGGACCCCCAGGAGGGCGGCGAGUGCGCCCUGAUGCGCCAGCACAGGCUGGACGGCAGCAUGGAGACAACCAGUGAGAUCGUGGACUCCGCCUCCCAUGACUGCCCCUUAGUGACCCAGACGUACGGCACAGCCGCAGCCAAAGGUGCUUACUUGCCCUCGUCCCCCACAAGACUUGGUAAGGGGCAGGACGCCAACCUAGAAGCCUACACAGAUGACUUGGGCGCUGUGGGCGGUGCGUGCCUGGAAGAUGAAGCCAGCGCCCUGCGCCUGGACGAAGACAGUGAGCACCCUCCCAUGAUCCUCCGGACUGACUGAGCCUGGCCUGGGGUCUGGCCUGACAGGACUUCUGCAUUGCUGCUAUGAACUUUGACCUGAAUUAGGGGAGAGGAUGGCAGAGACUUUAAAAAAAAAUAAGGAUGUAGAGAUAGUCUAACUUCAUACUGUUGAAAAUACACAGUUUUCACUCAGUGGCUUUUAAUUCUGCUUACCCACUUCAGCUUUUUGUUUCCUCUCUUUUCUUUUUUUCUUUUUUUGCCAAAAUGAACUGUUUGCAGUCCUUGGAGUCUCUCUCCGUGUGCAUGCUGUGCAAAGCCUGCAUAGGGGAGCUAGCAGCCACCAUCGAGCAAACCGCGCUUGUUGGGGUAACGUCUGUGCAAAUGAUGGCAGGCGUGCAGAGUGGUUCUCUGGGCCCUGGACCUUGGGCAGGAGUCCUCUGGUUCUGCAGCUCCACCUGGACCACUAUCCCUCCAUUUUAUUUUGCUAGACUUGCAUCGUACCGGGACUUCUUCCAGGGGGACUUUGUUUCUGGGCUCACUCUCCAUGUGGGUAGUGGGAGAGAGGCUCUUUCCAGUAAGAAAAACCUGCUCUCUGACCACGGGUGAACUUGAAAGUGAGCCUGGACCACCUGGAGCCAAGGAAAGUAAUGUCGUUUGUGUCAUUAAAUGACCUCCUCUUCUCUACUCUUCCUGUCAAGUAGCUGUGACUUUGUUAAGGGAGAGUUUGCAGCUGCCCCUGUGCCAAGAGAGCACAGAGGUGAGAUGCAGUGGCAGCUGGCUGUCCUUAGCUUGGGCUCCACUGUCUGCUGGAGAGGCCCGAGAGCAAUGCUGGCUGUGGCACUCCUUCGCCAGGGUGACUUGUGCCUUUUCUAUUUCAGUCUUAAAAAGGUUGUUGAGUGAGAGGCUGCAGCAUUUGCCUCGCUCCCCUCGUCGUUACUGAACGCAGACCACCUCAGAUAACCUCAAACUGCGUUCCCACAGGCAGCAGGGGAGGUUUCGAGGGCAUUUAAGUGGCGUUAAUGGCACCAUUGAGCAGGGAUGUUGAGGACAGAAGUGAAAAGGCAGAGGGACUCUCUCUGUUCACCCGUCCUGUGUGGCCAGAGGCGACUGUCCAGGUCAGAGUCAGCUUGUAUCCGGAGUCACUUCUGCCUGGCCAUCAUCUGCGCUGACCUGCUGGGGUCCGGUGGUCCCGCAGCUGCUCAGGAGGUCCAGAGUGUGAGGGGCGCACAGAGCCAGUUCUGACUGCAGCGGACACAGUGGGGCCCUAGUGGAGCUGGCAGGGUGAGAGCCAGGCAUGAGUUAAGUCUCCUUUAAAAUCUGCCUGCCUGUGCUGGACCCUCGAGCCUUGAGCACGUGCCAUACUGGGUCUCCGGGCACAGAGAGAAGUCCCUUAGUGCCUGGGCCAGUGGGAGGAGACUAAUGGAAGUGCUGGGUAGAUGUGGAGCCCUGAGCCAGGGUUCUCCUAGUAACCAAAGAGCCACGUUUUGCGUCCUGGCUUCAAGCGCACUCACUCAGUGCCUGCUGGCUCCUGCUGGCUAUCUUGCACGUGGUGGAGACCUAGGGCUCACAUCUGCAUUGUGGGGUUUUUUUUUCAUCUGUCUUUGGGAUUGUUAGACCCAGCAAAUUCUGGAAGUCCACUUCCUUUUGGCCUUAGCCUCCUUCAAGAUGCACUCAGGGAAAGUGGCCCUCCAUAGAUGGGUGGCUGCCAACGCUAGGCAGGUGAUUUCCCUCCCAGGUGGCCCUUGCUCCAGGCAGAGAUUGCUGAGAAUUCUCACAGGAGGAAAACACGGAUUUGGGUCUUGCUCACUGCUGGAGGGGGUCAAAGCCCUCUGCUUCUCCAUGACCCACCUUCCUCCGUCCCGCCUCACAGGUGGGAGGGAUGGGAAGGCAGGAGACAGGAGCUCUGAGGUGGUCGUUAGUGGGACUUGCCACCAUGCCAAGCCCAACAAAGGGACCCUUGAUUCCCAGACCGCACACUCACAGUAAUUUUUUUUUAUGUUUUUCCAAACUUCCAAAAUGUCAGAAACAAAACCCGGCACCUGAUCUCAUGGACUCGCGGGUAUUUGGACCAAACCUUUAUCUUCUCCAGUGAGGAGCGGAGAGCGGGAUUGAACCUGCAGUCGGAAAGUUCUGUGUUCAGUCGCGGGGCCUCAGGGCUGCGCUGUGCAGUCAGGGGACCACCUCCCAGGGUGGUCGUCAGGGCACGUGCAGGGCUCUGAUGCCUUGAUGCCGCCCCCCUCCUCCUCGGCACCAAGAACUGUGAGGAGAGCAGACGGCACCGUGACAGAGGCUGCCCAUCUCAGGUCAAGCACUACGGCCGGGCUGGACCAGGUUGAGGCCACUCAGUGUGGGACUUCAGGAGCCCAAGUCCUCCACCCUUGCCCCAGGGCAGUGUCCUGCCUGGCCAGGAGGGGACUGAGCACCGUCUUCUCGCCUCUACCUGGAGCAGCUGGACCCGGCCCCUCUGGGAGCCUCAUGGCUGCCGCUCCCUGCUGGGUGACUUCACUCUAUCGACUCCUUUUGGAGAGUCAGCAGCAUUGGGCCACACAGAAAGGACUGGAAUGCUUUGGGCACCACUCAGUGGAGGAAAAGGGACCACUGGUGAGCUGCCUUUGUCAUGCGUGGUUCUCAUGAGGGCAUUGGCCUGAGGUGCAUGUCUGUUCUGUCUGUCCCCUGCCCUUAGUCUUGGUGGCUUCUUCAUGCAGGGAGUGCCCGAGUCACUUUAUUCCAAUGUGUAUUGACCCUGGCAGCUGAAAACCCAAAAGGUUAUUUUCCAAGUGUACUUAGACCUCACGCCCAGUGGGACCAGCAGGGCGGGAGGUUCGUCCGCACUGUGCGGUGGCCAAGGAAUGGGGAGAGUGUGCUCUCCAGCCGCUCUGGGUGGGGAGCAGGCUUCAUGGAGAAUUCUGUUUUGUGAAUAAUUUUUCUUAAUGAAAAUCUAUACCGAUAGCGAUUUGCCAAGUAGACAGGUUAUUCUGACAUGUUUUAGGUUUUCCUCGUUAAUCCUGGGCUGUGUUGUACUGUUUCCUUCUGUGGAUUUUGUGAAGCACAAGAAAAAAAAAAAAAACUGAUUGGAGGUGUGGCCAGUUCCUGUCCUUCCUGGAAUCUGGAUAGGAAGACCCUUGAAUUUGGAAAAAUUAAAUCUUUUUAAAGCUCAGAAUCUCAGGGGAUCGUUUGGUCCCUAGCCUCGACGCCUGCAUUCUUUUA